UACAGAGGUCUCAAGCGUUUGUUCGGAUUCAUUGGGCGUAAAGGGUGCGUAGGCGGCGCGGUAAGUCGGGUGUGAAAUCUCGGAGCUUAACUCCGAAACUGCAUUCGAUACUGCCGUGCUUGAGGACUGGAGAGGAGACUGGAAUUUACGGUGUAGCGGUGAAAUGCGUAGAUAUCGUAAGGAAGACCAGUGGCGAAGGCGGGUCUCGUGGACAGUUCCUGACGCUGAGGCACGAAGGUCAGGGGGAGCAAAACGGGG
rnacentral:rRNA from 1 species